rnacentral:rRNA from 1 species
CAGCCGCCACGGGAAUACAGAGGGUGCAAGCGUUAAUCGGAAUUACUGGGCGUAAAGCGCGCGUAGGUGGUUUGUUAAGUUGGAUGUGAAAUCCCCGGGCUCAACCUGGGAACUGCAUCCAAAACUGGCAAGCUAGAGUAUGGUAGAGGGUGGUGGAAUUUCCUGUGUAGCGGUGAAAUGCGUAGAUAUAGGAAGGAACACCAGUGGCGAUGGCGACCACCUGGACUGAUACUGACACUGAGGUGCGAAAGCGUGGGGAGCAAACAGGAUUAGAUACCCCAGUAGUCCCUGUCUCUUAUAC